rnacentral:rRNA from 1 species
AUUGAACGCUGGCGGCAGGCCUAACACAUGCAAGUCGAGCGGGGCGGCGGACGGGUGGGUAAUGCCUAGGAAUCUGACUGGCCGUGUGGGAUGACGUAAGGAAAGGGGCGCUAAUCCAGCAUACUAUCAGCUGCGCCUAGGUCGGAUUCGCUAUUGGGUGGGGUAAAGGCCUAGCAAGGCGACGACCCGUACCUGGUCUGAGAGGAUGAUCAGUAACACUGGAACUGAGAACCGGCCAAGACUCCUACGGAAGGAAGCAGUGGGGAAUAUUGGACAAUGGGCGAAAGCCGGAUACAGCCAUGCCGCGUGUGUGAAGAAGGUCUUCGGAUUUUAAAGCACUUUAAGUUGGGAGGCGUUACCAACAGAAUAAGCACCGGCUAACUACGUGCCAGCAGCCGCGGUAAUUC